CAAUAGCGUAUAUUAAAGUUGUUGCGGUUAAAAAGCUCGUAGUUGGAUUUCUGCUGAGAACGACCGGUCCGCCCUCUGGGUGUGUAUCUGGUUUGGCCUGGGCAUCUUCUUGGAGAACGUAGCUGCACUUGACUGUGUGGUGCAUUGGCCAGCGCUUUUACUUUGAGGAAAUUAGAGUGUUUCAAGCAGGCUCACGCCUUGAAUACAUUAGCAUGGAAUAAUAAUAUAAGACCUUGGAUCUUUUUUGUUGGUUUCUAGAACCAAGGUAAUGAUUAAUAGGGAUAAUUGGGGGCAUUCGUAUUCAACUGUCAGAGGUGAAAUUCUUGGAUUUGUUGAAGACGAUCUACUGCGAAAGCAUUUGCCAGGGAUGUUUUCAUUGA
rnacentral:rRNA from 1 species